AUUGAACGCUGGCGGCAUGCCUUACACAUGCAAGUCGAACGGCAGCACGGGAGCAAUCCUGGUGGCGAGUGGCGAACGGGUGAGUAAUAUAUCGGAACGUGCCCAGUCGUGGGGGAUAACGUAGCGAAAGCUACGCUAAUACCACAUACGAUCUAUGGAUGAAAGCGGGGGAUCGCAAGACCUCGCGCGAUUGGAGCGGCCGAUAUCAGAUUAGGUAGUUGGUGAGGUAAAGGCUCACCAAGCCGACGAUCUGUAGCUGGUCUGAGAGGACGACCAGCCACACUGGGACUGAGACACGGCCCAGACUCCUACGGGAGGCAGCAGUGGGGAAUUUUUGGACAAUGGGCGGCAAGCCUGAUCCAGCAAUGCCGCGUGCAGGAUGAA
rnacentral:rRNA from 1 species